UAUUUUGAAUUUAAUAAAAUAAUAGACAUUUUUUUUUAAUAAUAAAUGGCGUUGGAAUUUUUAAUAUAACUUUAUCCGUUACUAAGUUAUUUCAUUUUAAAGUUACGAAUAUUUGAGUUAAAAUAUAUGUAUAAUAUACAUGGAUUAAACUAAACGGUAGCUAAUUGUUUUUUUACAACGUCGCUGUUCACAGUUACGCAGCGUUUAUUGCCCAUAAGACUUUAUCAACAGAAAGGUUUAUAAUAUAACAGUUUACCCACCCAUCCCGGAUUGUUACCGAUAUACGACUCCAUCGAAAUUAUUGAAGCAAUUUUCUUAUCAGGCAAAUAAUGCACUCUGAUUUAACACAAUCGAUGUUCUCUGAAAUUUAAAAUUUACUAAUAAGAAAACAAUUUAAUGUAAUAUAACCUUACUUGUAUACUCGUUUUAAUCGUGAUGCAACCUAUCUUGUUGAAAUGUAUGUUACUUUACUUAAGUAAACGCGCAGGAUGUGUUAUUCUAUUUAAGUGUCAGUUAAUUACCGAAAAUUUAUAAAAAUUUUAAUUAUUUGUAAUACCGAAAUUGAUACUUUAUGCAAUAAGGAAAACUUAUUAUUAAUGAGUAUAUUUUUAUUUCGUCGUAGAAAAUAUUCAAAGGUUUUGAUAUGGUGCCUGCAGCUAUGGACUUUGGCUAAGUACACGUGGUUUGGGAUGAGCAAAUUUUAUCUUUCAAAUCGGCCACAUGAAUUAUGAUUUACUAGUAUAAAAUCUUUUAACAUGUCAAGUAACUUGCGUAUCAGUAAUGUAAUGAAAUUUUAUUUUAAUUUGGUUAUUAAAUGAUCAUUACUUCUAAAAACCAAAUAAAAAUUUUACUAUACAAAAUUCACAUAUUCACAAUUUCUACAGCAGAGUUAAAAUGUUGAUGUCUGCCAUUUAAAUUUUUAUGUAUAUUCUAAAAAGUAUGCACUUGAGAGAAAUCUUAUUUACCAUUUAAUGUUAUUUGGUCAAUUUUCUAUUCACAACUAAAAGUUAACAAGAUUUAAUCAUGAUUGUACUACAUCCUUUCAUGGAAAGAAUUGAAUAUAAAUCGUAUACAUUAUUCUUAAAAAACCAAAUUUCAAAUUUGUUGUGUAUAUGUUAUUAGACAUUUUUUAGUUAGCUAUAAUUAUUUCAACCACAUAAGAUCAUUAAUUAAUUUUCACUAAUUAUUAAACUUUUAUAGUAAUGUUAUUAUGGUUGAGUUUCUUUUAUGUUAAUAAUUUUUUAUAAUUAUAAUUUUGAUGUUACUACUUGAACUAACAAAUUUUUAAAAUUGAACUGCAAUUAUUAAUGAGCAAAUAAAAAUAAGGUUACAUUUAUAAUAUUGUGAUGCAGGUUAUUAUUUUAUUUUUUCAAUGAAAUUAAAUUAAAUGUAGUUGUAAAAAGUUGUAACCUAAAAUUUAAAGGAGAAGUAAAUGUUCUACAUUAUUUAUGUACAGUAUAAAAAUUAUACAUAAAUAAAUAUUUAAUUAUUUAAAAAAAACAUAAUAAAUGAAUUUCGAGUCGUUCAGUUACAAAAGGAUGCAUGUUCAAGUAAAUUUUAUUUGUUAUUUUCCUAUUUCCUAACUUAUUGUAAACUAAUUUGUCAAGAAAAAUCAAAAUUAAAAAAUAUAUAUUUUUGGACGUACGUUUUGCAAUUGGGUGAUUUUCAUAUGAAUUUUGUAUAUGAAAAUGCAUAUGUGUAUUAAUGAUUUACAGAAAAUUUAUUUAUUUUUUAUACAUAUAUUUACACAGUCUAAUGAUAGCUUAAUAAAAAAAUUCAAUUUUUUAAAUUAUUUUUCAUUUUUAAUUAUAUAUUUUUGACUUCCUAAUAUAUUCAGUUCUAAUUUAUUUUAACUUGGGCAGUUAUUAGUGAUUACUUUUAAAUUACAAUUUAUUAUAUUUCAUGUAGAAACAAGUUUUGUUUUGCUGAAACUUAUAAUUUUUUCAUGGAGGGUUGUCGAAAUGUCAGUUUGUAAAAUUUUUUUAGUACAUGAUUUUCUAUGUCAUUACGCAAAUUCUACAUGAAAUCAUGUAUUACGCAAAUUCUGUCAUAGACUCAAGUAUUAAGAAAAAUUCAUUAACUGGUGUUUCACAGCUCUCUUAUGAAAAUAUUCUAAGUUGGGCAAAAGGAAAAAAAUGUCUGCAGGAUUAUAAUAAAUAGUAAUUGAAGAGAUAGUUACAAUAACAUGACAAAUCAAUUUUUUUUUUUUUAAUUAAGAGAUGAAAAUAAUUCUUUUAAUACAGUAAUUAAUUAUAUAAAAGUUGUUAAUAGUGUUCAAAAUGUUUAUAAAAUCACUAUCAAUAUUUAAACAAACUUUAAUUUAAUUUUUUUUAAAUAUUUUUGAAAUACUCAUAUACUUGCAUUUUUUAUUUCCAUUAAGUGAUUUACUAUUUACAAAGGUUAAACCUUCAUUUAAUUGUACUCUUUAUUUGUUUAUUCUUUUUUUUUUCAAAAUAGUAAUAUCAAAAUUCUAGUAAAAUACCUAAUUAACUUAAUGGUAUAUAUUUUUUUGAUAAUCUGAUCCUUUACCAGCUCAUAGAGGGGGAUUCAAAAUGACAACUUUUCUACAAAUAAUUGAAUUUUGAAAAUGUUCCGUAAAUAAUGACACUUAAUAAAUUGUAGAAAUAAUAAGUCUCAAAUGAUAAUUACUUGGAUGCAGCAAUUUAUACAAUUAACAAUAAUUAUUUGUUUAUAAAUGUAAUUUACAUAUUUUUUUUAUAUACUUACUAUGUCUAUGCAUUCUGAAGAUUUUAUUUAAAAUUAGAGUUGUUGGUUGACAAUAUGUCAUUUCUGUUGAUUUUCAACAAAACUAUUAUCUAACUAAAUCUGAUAUGCAUGUAGGGUACAAUUAAAUUUUUAAAAAGUAAAUAAUAAUCUUAAAAUGUCAAUAUUUUAAAAGUUACAUAAUUGUUUUUUUUUUUUUAAAUCUUUAUUUGAAAAUUUUUUAUCUUUGACAAAUAUUUUUGUUUUGUUUUCGUUUUGUAAAACAUUUAAAGGAUUUAACUAAAAUUUUUUUAUUUUAAGUCAUGAAAAAUAGUUAAUUUAUAUUUUAUAAACAUCAAUGAACCAAAACUUGUUUGAUUGUAGAAAAAUGUAUUUUUAAUUAAAAUGUAUAGUUAAUUUUUCACUUAUAAUUUCUAUCUGUUACUCAUAAUAUACAAUUAAACACUUUAAUAUACAUGUACAUGUAAUAUAAUGUACAUGUAUUUUUGAAUGUGUCUUAUUUUCUGUUCAAACUUUUUGAGUUAUUAUAUUUUUAAGUUAAUACCUAUGUUCAUAGUAAAUAAAAGCCAAAAGUAGAAAUUAACUUUGGAAUUGUGUUAAAUGAUUAAAUAUCUAUUAGUAAUUACAAAUCUUAGUUGGUUUACAUAAACAAUAUUUUAUAAAAAAAUUUUACAUAAUGUAAUAAUGUUAUAAAUAUACAAAUGU